rnacentral:rRNA from 1 species
GCAGCCGCGGUAAUACGGGGGAUGCAAGCGUUAUCCGGAUUUAUUGGGUUUAAAGGGUGCGUAGGCGGUUUUGUAAGUCAGCGGUGAAAUUUCGGAGCUCAACUUCGACCGUGCCGUUGAUACUGCAGAACUAGAAUGCGGAUGCCGUGGGAGGAAUGUGUGGUGUAGCGGUGAAAUGCAUAGAUAUCACACAGAACACCGAUUGCGAAGGCAUCUCACGAAUCCGCAAUUGACGCUGAGGCACGAAAGCGUGGGGAUCAAACAGGAUUAGAUACCCC